AUGAACCAAACGUCGAGUUAAGGGGCCUAAAUGAAUGCCUAUUCAGAUCCCAUCGAAAGGUGUUGGUUGCUAUAGACAGCAGGACGGUGGCCAUGGAAGUUGGAAUCCGCUAAGGAGUGUGUAACAACUCACCUGCCGAAGCAACUAGCCCUUAAAAUGGUAUGGCGCUCAAGCAUUCUCCCGAUACUCGACCGCCGGGGCACUACCGGCCCGGGCAAGUGAGUCCGGGUCUCGAAGCCCCGGCGAGUAGGAGGGUCGCGGUGGUGAGCGCUGAAGGGUUCGGCGUGAGCCGGCCUGGAGCCUCCACUGGUGCAGAUCUUGGUGGUAGUAGCAAAUAUUCGAGAGAGACUCCCUUGAAGGCCGAAGUGGAGAAGGGUUCCA
rnacentral:rRNA from 1 species